GAUUGCUUGUGCAAAAAAAGGCAGGGGAAAGAGGUUCUGAUGGACUUUUUGAGAUGAAGGAAGUGUAGGCUAUUCACAGAUGUAUGGGAAAAGAGCUCUGUGAGGCACAGAUUUGAGAAGAACUAUGUGGUUCCAUUCUCCAGGAAAUCAAGUUGUUGGCAGAUUUCCCAUUUCCCUUCAAGAACAUCCCAGGAUAAACCAGCUAACAGAUGAAACUGGUGGAGAGAGGACAAAAAAAAUGUGGAAAAUGGUCUUCCAUUUCCCCAACAGAAACACAUGCUCUGAGUUUGGAGGGAGAUUGCAUGGCCAAGUUUAUAGGAAAAAAAAUUAAAAAAAUAAAGUGAGUAUCUGUGCUCUUGACUCUACUGCA
rnacentral:lncRNA from 1 species